CACGUAGGGUGCGAGCGUUGUCCGGAAUUAUUGGGCGUAAAGAGCUCGUAGGCGGUGUGUCGCGUCGGCCGUGAAAACCUGCAGCUUAACUGUGGGCUUGCGGUCGAUACGGGCAUCACUGGAGUUCGGCAGGGGAGACUGGAAUUCCUGGUGUAGCGGUGAAAUGCGCAGAUAUCAGGAGGAACACCGGUGGUGAAGGCGGGUCUCUGGGCCGAUACUGACGCUGAGGAGCGAAAGCGUGGGGAGCGAACAGG
rnacentral:rRNA from 1 species